GGUCACUGUCUGGUCACCCGGAGGAACACUAUUACCAGGAGAACCAUCACCAUUGUUAAACUGGUGGCACCAAUGAAAUAAGAAUUCAAGCUGACGACAGUAAGAACUGGAAGCUUUAAGGAGAACAGCAUGGAUGAGAGCAUGGAUACUGGGAGACAGUUCGGAUGUUGUUGAGGGAACCCAUCUGGAAAGAUCAGCUGAGAACCCAUCCCCUGCAAACAUUUCAGAGAGGAAAGUGGCUGACAGGCAGAAAUGCCAGGUAUCAAGAGUAUCUCUGAGCAUGCAGAAAAUGCUCACCACUGAAUACAUUUCAAGAAGCUGCUUUACUGCUCCUACUGGAGGGGAGACAGAGUGCCCAAGUUGCACAGCAUCAUCUGAUUUCCAGAGAUAAAGCACCUUUUCCUUA